CACGUAGGGCGCAAGCGUUGUCCGGAAUUAUUGGGCGUAAAGAGCUCGUAGGUGGUCUGUUACGUCUGCUGUGAAAACCCAGGGCUUAACCCUCGGCUUGCAGUGGAUACGGGCAGACUAGAGGCAGGUAGGGGAGAAUGGAAUUCCCGGUGUAGCGGUGAAAUGCGCAGAUAUCGGGAGGAACACCGGUGGCGAAGGCGGUUCUCUGGGCCUGUACUGACGCUGAGGAACGAAAGCGUGGGGAGCGAACAGG
rnacentral:rRNA from 1 species